rnacentral:lncRNA from 1 species
UAUAUAUAGAGCUAGGCUCCUAUGCUUUCGAAAGUACGGAGGCUUCCGUACUUAUAAAUUGUUUUCGAUGAUGGGACUUCCAAUUCGGUGAUCGGUUCCGUUAAAUAUGAUCUACGCUAUUGGAACUAUCUAGAAACCAAAUUUCAUAAUUUUUUGACUUUGUUUACCUAGUGAACGAGUAGCUUCAAAAUGAACGGCUGAAAAUAAAAAUCUCUUAAAAAACAGCGAUAAAGGACUCAAAUUUCAAAUCGAAAGUAUUGCCCUUGCUCUUGAUGCUAAGUAGAAUUUUUUAUUAAAGUUUCAUAUAAUUUGGAUACUUCUACACCGUUGAACUUAAAAACGUGCCACAUCGGCCGUUCAAAUAGUCAAUUUUGAGACCCUUUGAUCGCUUGGUAAAUGAAGUCGAAAAAUUAUAAAAUUUGGUUUCUAAAUAGUUUCAGUAGCGUAGAUUAUGCCUAACACAGCCGAUCGUCGAAUCGGAUGUCCUAUCAUCGAAAACAACUUACAAGCACGGAGGCCUCCGUACUUUCGAAAGCACGGGAGACAUACUAUA